rnacentral:misc_RNA from 1 species
GUUGGCAGAGUUGAUAAAGAAAGGAUCUGUCCAAGUUGGAGAUGUGACCAAGGUAUUAUGUGAAGAUCUCAGCAACUAUUGCAAGGGGACAAGCAGCUCCAAUAAGGCAGUAGAUGAUGAACUUUGACCUGAUAAAUCAUUUUGUUUCCGUGGCUGGUUGAUGAGGUAAAGAAAGAAGAUUGUCCCCUAUUCGUUAACCAGAAAUUCAGAUGAUUUCCAUAGAAGUAUAA